GACGAACGCUGGCGGCGUGCCUAAUACAUGCAAGUAGAACGCUGAAGGAGGAGCUUGCUUCUCUGGAUGAGUUGCGAACGGGUGAGUAACGCGUAGGUAACCUGCCUGGUAGCGGGGGAUAACUAUUGGAAACGAUAGCUAAUACCGCAUAACAGUAGAUAUCGCAUGAUAUCUACUUGAAAGGUGCAAUUGCAUCACUACCAGAUGGAGCUGCGUUGUAUUAGCUAGUUGGUGAGGUAACGGCUCACCAAGGCGACGAUACAUAGCCGACCUGGGAGGGGGAUCGGCCACACUGGGACUGAGACACGGGCCAGACGCCUACGGGAGGCAGCAGUAGGGAAUCUUUGGCAAUGGACGGAAGUCUGACCGAGCAACGCCGCGUGAGUGAAGAAGGUUUUCGGGUCGUAAAGCUCUGUUGUAAGAGGAGAACGAGAGUGAGAGUGGAAAGUUCACACUGUGACGGUAACUUACCAGAAAGGGACGGCUAACUACGUG
rnacentral:rRNA from 1 species